rnacentral:sRNA from 1 species
AGCAGCCGCGGUAAUUCCAGCUCCAAUAGCGUAUAUUAAAGUUGUUGCAGUUAAAAAGCUCGUAGUUGAAUUUCGGAAUCAGUACGCUGGUCGUGCCUUCGGUAUGUACUGGUGUCACUGGUUUCUCCCUUCUGAAGAACCAUCAUGCCAUUCACUUGGUGUGGUGGGAAAUCAGGACUGUUACUUUGAAAAAUUAGAGUGUUUAAAGCAGGCUCGCGCUUGAAUACAUUAGCAUGGAAUAAUGAAAUAGGACGUUAAUCCUAUUUUGUUGGUUUCUAGGAUCGACGUAAUGAUUAAUAGGGAUAGUUGGGGGCAUUAGUAUUCAAUUGUCAGAGGUGAAAUUCUUGGAUUUUAUUGAAGACUAACUACUGCGAAAGCAUUUGCCAAGGAUGUUUUCAUUAAUCAAGAACGAAAGUUAGGGGAUCGAAGACGAUCAGAUACCGUCGUAGUCUUAACCAUAAACUAUGCCGACUAGGGAUCGGAUGAUGUUAA